UUAACACAUGCAAGUCGAACGAACCUUCGGGUUAGUGGCGGACGGGUGAGUAACGCGUGAGAAUCUGCCCUCAGGAGGGGGAUAACGGUUGGAAACGACCGCUAAUACCCCAUAUGCCUAUUGGUGAAAUGAAUUUCGCCUGAGGAUGAGCUCGCGUCUGAUUAGCUUGUUGGUGAGGUAAUGGCUCACCAAGGCUUCGAUCAGUAGCUGGUCUGAGAGGAUGAUCAGCCACACUGGGACUGAGACACGGCCCAGACUCCUACGGGAGGCAGCAGUGGGGAAUUUUCCGCAAUGGGCGAAAGCCUGACGGAGCAACGCCGCGUGAGGGACGAAGGCCUCUGGGCUGUAAACCUCUUUUCUCAAGGAAGAAGAUAUGACGGUACUUGAGGAAUAAGCCACGGCUAAUUCCGUGCCAGCAGCCGCGGUAAUACGGGAGUGGCAAGCGUUAUCCGGAAUUAUUGGGCGUAAAGCGUCCGCAGGCGGCUUUUCAAGUCUGCUGUUAAAACGUGGAGCUUAACUCCAUCAUGGCAGUGGAAACUGAAAGGCUUGAGUAUGGUAGGGGCAGAGGGAAUUCCCGGUGUAGCGGUGAAAUGCGUAGAUAUCGGGAAGAACACCAGUGGCGAAGGCGCUCUGCUGGGCCAUUACUGACGCUCAUGGACGAAAGCCAGGGGAGCGAAAGGGAUUAGAUACCCCUGUAGUCCUGGCCGUAAACGAUGAACACUAGGUGUCGGGGGAAUCGACCCCUUCGGUGUCGUAGCUAACGCGUUAAGUGUUCCGCCUGGGGAGUACGCACGCAAGUGUGAAACUCAAAGGAAUUGACGGGGGCCCGCACAAGCGGUAAGUAUGUGGUUUAAUUUCGAUGCAACGCAAGAACCUUUACCAGGGUUUGACAUCCUGCGAACCUCUUAAAAUUUGAGGGUGCCUUCGGGAUGCAGUGACAGGUGGUGCAUGCUGUCGUCAGCUCGUGUCGAGAGAUGUGGUAAGUCCCGCAAGAGGCGCACCCACGUUUUAGUGCCAGCUUUAGUUGGGCCUCU
rnacentral:rRNA from 1 species